rnacentral:misc_RNA from 1 species
GUGCAAAGUUCUCAUCAAUAGAAACAAAUUAAGUUCAAACAGCAGGAAAUUGCUAUAAAUCGUUAAAGAGUUACCUCGACUAACUUUUGUCUCCAUCAUCAGACUGCAAUGGCACUUAUAACUCAUACAGGUGCAAAGUUCUCAUCAAUAGAAACGAAUUAAGUUCAAAAAGCAGGUAAUUGCAAUAAAUUGUUGAAGAGUUCCCUCGACUAUCUUUCGUCUCCAUCAUCAGACUUUAAUGGCACUUGUAACUCAUAUAGGUGCAAAGUUCUCAUCAAUAGAAACGAAUUAAGUUCAAACAGCAGGGAAUUGCUAUAAGUCGUGAAGAGUACCCUCGACUAUCUUUCGUCUCCAUCAUCAGACCGAAAUGGCACUUAUAUCUCAUAUAUAUGCAAAGUUCUCAUCAAUAGAAACGAAUUAAGUUCAAACAGCAGGUAAUUGCUAUAAAUCGUUAAAGAGUUCCCUCGAC